rnacentral:rRNA from 1 species
GCAAUGCGCGAAAGCGUGACGGGGUCACCCCGAGUGCCGUCCGCUGAGGAUGGCUUUUGCCCGGUCUAACCAGCCGGGUGAAUAAGGGGAGGGCAAGUCUGGUGUCAGCCGCCGCGGUAAUACCAGCUCCCCGAGUGGUUGGGACGAUUAUUGGGUCUGAAGCGUCCGUAGCCGGCCGGAAAAGUUUCCCGUUAAAUCUGGCGAUCCAAUCGCUGGGCUGCGGGGAAUACUCUUCGGCUUGGGGGCGAGGGAGGUCGGCGGUAGUCUCGGGGUAGGGGCGAAAUCCUAUAAUCCCGGGAGGACCACCAGUGGCGAAGGCGGCCGACUAAAGCGCGCCCGACGGUGAGGGACGAAAGCUGGGGGAGCGAACGGGAUUAGAUACCCCGGUAGUCCCAGCUGUAAACGAUGCAGGCUAGGUGUUGGGACGGCUACGAGCUGUCCCAGUGCCGCAGGGAAGCCAUUAAGCCUGCCACCUGGGAAGUACGGCCGCAAGGCUGAA